rnacentral:rRNA from 1 species
CUACGGGUGGCAGCAGGCGAGAAAACUUUGCAAUGUGCGAAAGCACGACAAGGUUAAUCCGGGUGGUUUGUGCUAAACGAACCUUUUGACAGUCCUAGAAACACUGUUGAAUAAGGGGUAGGCAAGUUCUGGUGUCAGCCGCCGCGGUAAAACCAGCACCUCAAGUGGUCAGGAUGAUUAUUGGGCCUAAAGCAUCCGUAGCCGGCUCUGUAAGUUUUCGGUUAAAUCUGUACGCUCAACGUACAGGCUGCCGGGAAUACUGCAGAGCUAGGGAGUGGGAGAGGUAGACGGUACUCGGUAGGAAGGGGUAAAAUCCUUUGAUCUAUUGAUGACCACCUGUGGCGAAGGCGGUCUACCAGAACACGUCCGACGGUGAGGGAUGAAAGCUGGGGGAGCAAACCGGAUUAGAUACCCUUGUAGUC